UACGUAGGGUGCAAGCGUUAAUCGGAAUUACUGGGCGUAAAGCGUGCGCAGGCGGUGAUGUAAGACCGAUGUGAAAUCCCCGGGCUCAACCUGGGAAUGGCAUUGGUGACUGCACGGCUAGAGUGUGUCAGAGGGGGGUAGAAUUCCACGUGUAGCAGUGAAAUGCGUAGAGAUGUGGAGGAAUACCGAUGGCGAAGGCAGCCCCCUGGGAUAACACUGACGCUCAUGCACGAAAGCGUGGGGAGCAAACAGG
rnacentral:rRNA from 1 species